rnacentral:rRNA from 1 species
GACGAACGCUGGCGGCGUGCUUAACACAUGCAAGUCGAACGGAAAGGCCCUGCUUUUGUGGGGUGCUCGAGUGGCGAACGGGUGAGUAACACGUGAGUAACCUGCCCUUGACUUUGGGAUAACUUCAGGAAACUGGGGCUAAUACCGGAUAGGAGCUCCUGCUGCAUGGUGGGGGUUGGAAAGUUUCGGCGGUUGGGGAUGGACUCGCGGCUUAUCAGCUUGUUGGUGGGGUAGUGGCUUACCAAGGCUUUGACGGGUAGCCGGCCUGAGAGGGUGACCGGCCACAUGGGGACUGAGAGACGGCCCAGACUCCUACGGGAGGCAGCAGUGGGGAAUAUUGCACAAUGGGCGGAAGCCUGAUGCAGCAACGCCGCGUGCGGGAUGACGGCCUUCGGGUUGUAAACCGCUUUCGCCUGUGACGAAGCGUGAGUGACGGGAAUGGGUAGAAGCACCGGCUAACUACGUG